UCAAAGUUUUUUCCUGAGUGUGGAAAUUAUUUCAUUAGUAAUUUUAAGUUAUGCAGAUAUAGUUAAUACCAAGAAAUAAUUGAACUGAAAAGGAACCCGGAUAUCUAGUUUUAACCAGCUGUUUUAAAGAUAAACAGUUCUAGAGAUCAAAUGAAUAGUUUAGCAACAUAUUUAUUGUAACUUACCUGUAGUUAGAAUCCAAGUCCCUGGCUUUCCAAUCCAGUCUUCAAUGUAUAAUACUGAUCAAAAGAAAUACAGGCCUGCUAUUAUUCAUAAAUUUAAACUAUUAUGUACAAGUUGAUAGCUUAUAAUAGAAAUCAGUAUGAUUAGUGUUAAAAGUCAAAUUUAGUCUGACAGGGAAGGAAUGUCCAUGUGAACUGAUUUUUUUUAAUAGAAUGCAAAUUAAUACUCAAUUCCUGAUUUGUUUAUUACAUUUUGUGGUUUAAUGAAAUGAUACUCAGGUCAUUUUCAUAAAUAGCUUUUCUAUUAAUGCUUCCUCAGUCACAUUCUCUAUUCCUAUUGCAUAGCACAGUCUAACAGUUGAAAUGCCUAAGCCUUACUGAAUGAUGACUGAUAUUCUCUGUGAGAGUUAGAGCUGUACUAUAAAUAUACAUUACCUGUGCAAAGUAUGCCUUCAGGGGCUAUUCCCCAUAACCUUAGCAAAAUUUUAAAAUAUUCUUAUGGCUAGCAAUCUUAUCUAUUGUCAUGUCUUACUAUUUCCUGCUUACCACCCCCAUUUCUCUCUCAACCUUGUUGCUGCAUUAGCUGUCCAUCACUUAACACUGUUUAUUUCUCUGUUUUUCUUCCAUCAUUCUCUUCUUUGCAACUAAAUGAUUUAGACUUUUUAUAACCAUAAUCAACCAGUUAGAUUCUUUUUAUUUGUGGUUAUUGAGUUGAUAAAUGAUAGUGCAUUUUAUGUAAUAUUCAGGUGUUAUGCUAUUUUUAUCUGGUUCACUUUAAAACCUCCCUCCCCCCACUCCCUUUUUUUGUGGGUUUUUUUUUUAUUAUUAUUAUUUUCCAGUUUUGUGUUGUUUUGCUUUUUAACUUCUGAGAUUGCAGUGGUUCCAGAUGGUUGAAAUCACUAGUAGUGAUUUACAUGAAGCAUUCAUGUAUUUAUUACUGGUAUAUUCAACUAUGGUGGAGGGAAAUUGGUCGAAGAAUUACGGUUAAAGAGCUCCUUUAAAAAGGAGAUUUGUAGAAUUCUAAAAUGUGAUUCUGAUUCAUAUAGUCAUGAUUCUUAGAAAUUAGCUACAGGAAGAGAUAGAAACAUUGCUAUAGUUGUCUUUGCCCUAAGUUUGGAGUUUUAUAGUGUAAUAUAUAUAUAAUAGCUCUAAUUAUAAAUACACUUUUACUCUGGAAAAAGCAUAGACAUUGACAUAAGAGACAUUUAAAAACCAUUAUUUUCUCAUCUGUAAAAUGGAGAGAAUUACUUCAUAUGUUCACUUAUAAGGAUUAUGUGAAAUACUGUUCCAUUCCAUUAGUAGUUUUUCUUUUCCUCUAAUUGGGGGUGGGGGCAGUUUUUGGCAUUCUAUUUAUGGAAGGUGUUUUUUUCCCUAAGAUCAUUUUGAUGUCUCAGAAGACAUUUGCUAUGUACGUUGGACAUUUGCCAUGUACAUUGUAGAGAAUACAAAGAUAAACAGAACCACAGUACAGCUGGUUCUAUUAGACAUUGAAAAUGCAUAUUCUAGCAUAUUUAAUAUAUUAGGGAACAAUUUAAGCAUAAUGUGAAUUUCAUGUUUACUGAAGAUUUCAUCCUGAGAAACAAAUGAAAGCAGAAAAUUACAACCAACUGAACCAGCUGUGUAAGAAAUAUAUAUAUGGUGUGCACACAUGUACAUACCUCAGACAUCUAUUAGCAUUCUCAGUUUUCCACAAGUUAAAAGCCACGCUCAUCCAUAUCUGGUGCUAAUAACUUCCUAUCCAAUUUCAGAUAGCUGUUUUCAACACAUCUGACACCUUCUUUUUUUCAAGCAAACUUCAGGUCUUUUUCAAGAUAAAGUCAUUUAUAGUAGUGUCUAUAUAUUUCUUAACCAUUUAACAUGUAAACUGUGCUGCCUUUUAAGAAAUUAAUUCUAUCCUUUUUAGUGUCAGAGUUGAAGAUUUUGAGUGUUGUGCCCUAACCUUAUCAUUUUCCUCAUAAGUCCUGUGGUUUUUAUUGUAUGAUUUUGCAUAGUGUGGCAAUUCUUGGAAAUGCUUAUGUUGUGUUAUAGUAUAACUGACUUACUACUUUCAAAUAGCUUCUAGUCUGAUUCAUGUUAUGACAGUAUACAGUAUAGCAAAAUAAGGACAUCAGGGAACAGGAGGCUGAGCAUAUCACCAUUUACCAAUGGUAGCUUGAGCAAGGCACUUCAUUUAUCGAAGUCCAUUUUCUCAUCUGUACAAUGGAGGUGAUGAUAGUACAUGUCUUUUCUGUCUUGUGUUAUUUGUAGUUUCAAGUAAGAUAUGAAAUAUGCUGUAGAAAUACAGGGUUGGGAAUAUCUAGUGGUACAAAAAUCAACUUUUGGCCCAAUUUUAAGGUGAGAUAAUUAUGAGACAUUUUUCGACCUCAAAGUCUUUGUUCUUUUCUCUCUACACCAUUGUGAAUAACACAGUGUAUAUAUGAGAUUAAUUUAUUACCUCGACUUUCCAUUUUUGUUUUGUAAAGUAGU
rnacentral:lncRNA from 1 species